rnacentral:rRNA from 1 species
GAGGAAUAUUGGUCAAUGGGCGCAAGCCUGAACCAGCCAUCCCGCGUGAAGGAAGACGGCCCUAUGGGUUGUAAACUUCUUUUGUAUAUGAAGAACGUCUCUUACGAGUAAGGGAGUGACGGUAAUAUACGAAUAAGCAUCGGCUAACUCCGUGCCAGCAGCCGCGGUAAUACGGAGGAUGCAAGCGUUAUCCGGAUUUAUUGGGUUUAAAGGGUACGUAGGUGGCCUGAUAAGUCAGUGGUGAAAACCUGUCGCUUAACGAUAGGCGUGCCAUUGAUACUGUUGGGCUUGAGUACAGAUGAGGUAAGCGGAAUGUGUAGUGUAGCGGUGAAAUGCAUAGAUAUUACACAGAACUCCGAUUGCGAAGGCAGCUUACUAAACUGACACUGACGCUGAGGUACGAAAGCGUGGGUAGCGAAC